rnacentral:rRNA from 1 species
GCGGCCUAUCAGCUUGUUGGUGCGGUAACGGCGUACCAAGGCUAAGACGGGUAGCUGGUCUGAGAGGACGACCAGCCACACUGGAACUGAGACACGGUCCAGACACCUACGGGUGGCAGCAGUCGAGAAUUUUUCUCAAUGGGGGAAACCCUGAAGGAGCGACGCCGCGUGGGGGAUGAAUGGCUUCGGCCCGUAAACCCCUGUCAUCUGCGAGCAAUAUUUUUAGCUAACAUGCUGAAAAUUGAUAGUAGCGGAAGAGGAAGGGACGGCUAACUCUGUGCCAGCAGCCGCGGUAAUACAGAGGUCCCAAGCGUUGUUCGGAUUUACUGGGCGUAAAGGGUGCGUAGGUGGUAGCUAAAGUCUGAUGUGAAAUCUCGAGGCCUAACCUCGAAACUGCAUUGGAAACUGAGCGACUAGAGGUGUGGAGGGGAGACUGGAAUUCCU